AUCCAAUCAGAAUUCUUUUCAAAGCCCAAAGCCCUCCAGUGCCUACCAGAGGCCUUUUAGCCUCUAGUCUUUUCACAGCCCCAGGGCGUGGGUCUCCCGCAAAGGAGGGCUAAGGCGACAGGGCGAGCAGCGCCCCUUGAAGCGUCUAUCUGUAGCCCCGCUCUUGCAAACCGUGAAAGCCUUAAAAAGAUAAAAUUUCAAGGCUCCAACUGUACAACCCAAGAAUAAAAUGAAGACAGCCAGGGCUUGAGUUGCUUCCUGGACAAGGGAAGCGGGGUCACCCAGGCUACUACAGUGUUGUCUUGGAGAUUUCGGGGUUUGUUGGAAUAUUUCCCGGUCCAGAUGGGAGGGAGGAAGUUCUAAUGCAAGCGUUUUUGGACUCUAGACUGACAAGAUUGCGACAGGGUGGGUGGUGCGCUGUACUGGAUUCAAGCAAUUCCCAGGAGUAUAGAUGGGAAGAUGGGAAUUCAAAGCAGUACUUUCUGUAUCAAGAGUAUAAACCUGGAAAAUGUCACCCUUCUGCAAAUUGCUAAGGAUCACACCCAGGAUAUGGUGCAUGCUGAGCAAAUGGUUUCACUGAGCUACAACUUCAAUUUCACAAUGUGAACUGUGGUGGGGGCCGAGAGGGUGGCAUCUGCAAGACAGUUCCCUGGAGAAUAGGCUCAUGUCCUAUCCUAAAAGAGACCAAUGAAAAAGGUCAGGGUGAUAUAA